UACGUAGGGUGCGAGCGUUAAUCGGAAUUACUGGGCGUAAAGCGUGCGCAGGCGGUUUUGUAAGCCAGAUGUGAAAUCCCCGGGCUCAACCUGGGAAUGGCAUUUGGGACUGCAAGGCUGGAGUGCGGCAGAGGAGACUGGAAUUCCUGGUGUAGCAGUGAAAUGCGUAGAUAUCAGGAGGAAUACCGAUGGCGAAGGCAGGUCUCUGGGCGGACACGGACGCUCAUGCACGAAGGCGUGGGAGCAAACAGG
rnacentral:rRNA from 1 species